GCGUUGUAUUGAACUGUAAGACUAGGUUGGUAGAAAAAAUUUCUGCCUGUGAAUACAGUAUGCUUUAGUCAGUGUGGCUUGUGUAGUUUUGGGAUCUAUUGGUAAAACUGCAUGUUGGUAAAACAGCUUUGUUAGAAAAAGUUCUGGUGGCUGGCUAUCAGCUACUGCAACAUAAUUUGUCAUCAAUUCAUCAUCAGGAGAUUGGUGUGAUCCUAUGAGCACCAUAUCAUGCCCUGCAUAUGACCAAGAACCACAAGGUAUUGCAGCUUGGAAGCAGAAGGGUUUCUGCAGGUGGGAAAUGUCCAUGGCUCACCAGAGAUUCUAGAUUUCUUUUUGGACAGGUCUGGACUGGACAUGCAACAAGACUUAUGUGCGAGGGGUAAUGUUUGCCUUAGUUACUCCUAAUGGUUUCCUAUGACUGUUCCAGACACUGCUCUGCGCUGCUGUGUGAUGCAACCUCAGCACAAGAGUAAGACCUCAGUUCCUGGAUAUCUGCUUGGAGAUAAGAAGCUCCAGACUGGCCACCCUGCUUCCCAAGGAUAGGAAAUGUGUAGCCUCAGUAUCUGGCCUCGGAGGAAGGACAAUCCAUCCCAGUAUUUUAAUUUCUCUUUCCCUUCCUUUCCAGUUCCUUCUGAUUUCCUCUAGACUCAGUUCUUUCACUUCAUACCUGUACUUCCUUCCUAUUAAAAACCUGUUGAAACCUUG